rnacentral:rRNA from 1 species
GUGCACGGCCACGCCACCCUGAACACGCCCGAUCCCGUCCGAUCGCGGAAGCUAAGCAGGGUCGGGCCUGGUUAGUACUUGGAUGGGAGACCACCUAGGACGACCGGGUGCUGUAGGUA